CCUGAAAGUGGCUUUGGUGGUUCCUGAGGGGAGGUGAGGGUUGUUUUGCAGCUCCCUGUCAGGACCUGCUGGCACUGCUGGCUCUGUGCUGCUCCAGCUGCUGCACACGGGGAUUUCUUUGCACCUUCAGGGUAGGCUGUAAUACAAUGUCUUAAAUCUCAUGGAAUUAGAGAAAGAGAAUCUCCUGUGUUUGUACUGUGAAUCUAUGCAGAAUCCUACAAAUCCUGUGAAACUAAGUUUAAUGCCAAGAAUUCUCCAGGAGUGAAAAUCUGUCAAUAUUCCAAUAGAAAAGAUGGAGCGGCGGUCGUGUGAUAAAGAUCUUCUAUGUAAGUUGUUGAUGUGAAUGUAUUAAUUUAGUUUAUAUGCACCAGGAGAAGAGCUACUUGAGCAAGGUAUUGCUGUCUACUAACCACUAUAAAUUACCCUGUCUGGGGGAGUAUGUCCAGUAUUUUACAUGAGGCUCUUUUUUUAGUUAUAGGAUUCCCAUUGCUGGCUAACUCGAGCAGCUUUUUUCAGAGCCCAUUGCAGUAAAAGCAGUUUGUGAAUGUUGUACUAGGCAUUGUUUUAAUGUAUGGGGUAUUGCAAGCAGAAAUAUGCACCUGAAUGUGAUGGUUGUUUUACAAAUUUAAGUGGGUUGUUCCUUGUACAGACCAAAAUUUUCUGAAGUCUGCCUCCUACACUGCAAAGAGGUACCUGAUACCCCUUUCUGAGAGGCAGGACAUUGUUCUGAAGGAUUGACUGGAAUAUCGAUGUAGAAUAUGUUUGUGCUGUGCUCUCUGCAAUUUAA
rnacentral:lncRNA from 1 species